rnacentral:tRNA from 1 species
GCCGUCGUGGUGCAGUUGGAAACAUGCCCAGCUAACAAUCCGUAGGUCCAGGUUCGAAUCCUGGCAAAGGCA